GGUUAAGCGACUAAGCGUACACGGUGGAUGCCCUGGCAGUCAGAGGCGAUGAAGGACGUGCUAAUCUGCGAUAAGCGCCGGUAAGGUGAUAUGAACCGUUAUAACCGGCGAUUUCCGAAUGGGGAAACCCAGUGUGAUUCGUCACACUAUCAUUAACUGAAUCCAUAGGUUAAUGAGGCGAACCGGGGGAACUGAAACAUCUAAGUACCCCGAGGAAAAGAAAUCAACCGAGAUUCCCCCAGUAGCGGCGAGCGAACGGGGAGGAGCCCAGAGCCUGAAUCAGCAUGUGUGUUAGUGGAAGCGUCUGGAAAGGCGCGCGAUACAGGGUGACAGCCCCGUACACAAAAGCGCAUGUGCUGUGAGCUCGAUGAGUAGGGCGGGACACGUGGUAUCCUGUCUGAAUAUGGGGGGACCAUCCUCCAAGGCUAAAUACUCCUGACUGACCGAUAGUGAACCAGUACCGUGAGGGAAAGGCGAAAAGAACCCCGGCGAGGGGAGUGAAAAAGAACCUGAAACCGUGUACGUACAAGCAGUGGGAGCACAGGUUUACCUGUGUGACUGCGUACCUUUUGUAUAAUGGGUCAGCGACUUAUAUUCUGUAGCAAGGUUAACCGUAUAGGGGAGCCGGAGGGAAACCGAGUCUUAACCGGGCGUUAAGUUGCAGGGUAUAGACCCGAAACCCGGUGAUCUAGCCAUGGGCAGGUUGAAGGUUGGGUAACACUAACUGGAGGACCGAACCGACUAAUGUUGAAAAAUUAGCGGAUGACCUGUGGCUGGGGGUGAAAGGCCAAUCAAACCGGGAGAUAGCUGGUUCUCCCCGAAAGCUAUUUAGGUAGCGCCUCGUGAAUUCAUCUCCGGGGGUAGAGCACUGUUUCGGCUAGGGGGCCAUCCCGGCUUACCAACCCGAUGCAAACUGCGAAUACCGGAGAAUGUUAUCACGGGAGACACACGGCGGGUGCUAACGUCCGUCGUGAAGAGGGAAACAACCCAGACCGCCAGCUAAGGUCCCAAAGUCAUGGUUAAGUGGGAAACGAUGUGGGAAGGCCCAGACAGCCAGGAUGUUGGCUUAGAAGCAGCCAUCAUUUAAAGAAAGCGUAAUAGCUCACUGGUCGAGUCGGCCUGCGCGGAAGAUGUAACGGGGCUAAACCAUGCACCGAAGCUGCGGCAGCGACACUGUGUGUUGUUGGGUAGGGGAGCGUUCUGUAAGCCUGUGAAGGUGGCCUGUGAGGGUUGCUGGAGGUAUCAGAAGUGCGAAUGCUGACAUAAGUAACGAUAAAGCGGGUGAAAAGCCCGCUCGCCGGAAGACCAAGGGUUCCUGUCCAACGUUAAUCGGGGCAGGGUGAGUCGACCCCUAAGGCGAGGCCGAAAGGCGUAGUCGAUGGGAAACGGGUUAAUAUUCCCGUACUUGGUGUUACUGCGAAGGGGGGACGGAGAAGGCUAUGUUGGCCGGGCGACGGUUGUCCCGGUUUAAGCGUGUAGGUGUGUGUUCCAGGUAAAUCCGGUUCACUUUAACACUGAGGCGUGACGACGAGGCACUACGGUGCUGAAGCAACAAAUGCCCUGCUUCCAGGAAAAGCCUCUAAGCAUCAGGUAACAUCAAAUCGUACCCCAAACCGACACAGGUGGUCAGGUAGAGAAUACCAAGGCGCUUGAGAGAACUCGGGUGAAGGAACUAGGCAAAAUGGUGCCGUAACUUCGGGAGAAGGCACGCUGACACGUAGGUGAAGUGAUUUACUCAUGGAGCUGAAGUCAGUCGAAGAUACCAGCUGGCUGCAACUGUUUAUUAAAAACACAGCACUGUGCAAACACGAAAGUGGACGUAUACGGUGUGACGCCUGCCCGGUGCCGGAAGGUUAAUUGAUGGGGUCAGCGCAAGCGAAGCUCCUGAUCGAAGCCCCGGUAAACGGCGGCCGUAACUAUAACGGUCCUAAGGUAGCGAAAUUCCUUGUCGGGUAAGUUCCGACCUGCACGAAUGGCGUAAUGAUGGCCAGGCUGUCUCCACCCGAGACUCAGUGAAAUUGAACUCGCUGUGAAGAUGCAGUGUACCCGCGGCAAGACGGAAAGACCCCGUGAACCUUUACUAUAGCUUGACACUGAACAUUGAGCCUUGAUGUGUAGGAUAGGUGGGAGGCUUUGAAGUGUGGACGCCAGUCUGCAUGGAGCCGACCUUGAAAUACCACCCUUUAAUGUUUGAUGUUCUAACGUGGACCCGUUACCCGGGUUGCGGACAGUGUCUGGUGGGUAGUUUGACUGGGGCGGUCUCCUCCUAAAGAGUAACGGAGGAGCACGAAGGUUGGCUAAUCCUGGUCGGACAUCAGGAGGUUAGUGCAAUGGCAUAAGCCAGCUUGACUGCGAGCGUGACGGCGCGAGCAGGUGCGAAAGCAGGUCAUAGUGAUCCGGUGGUUCUGAAUGGAAGGGCCAUCGCUCAACGGAUAAAAGGUACUCCGGGGAUAACAGGCUGAUACCGCCCAAGAGUUCAUAUCGACGGCGGUGUUUGGCACCUCGAUGUCGGCUCAUCACAUCCUGGGGCUGAAGUAGGUCCCAAGGGUAUGGCUGUUCGCCAUUUAAAGUGGUACGCGAGCUGGGUUUAGAACGUCGUGAGACAGUUCGGUCCCUAUCUGCCGUGGGCGCUGGAGAACUGAGGGGGGCUGCUCCUAGUACGAGAGGACCGGAGUGGACGCAUCACUGGUGUUCGGGUUGUCAUGCCAAUGGCACUGCCCGGUAGCUAAAUGCGGAAGAGAUAAGUGCUGAAAGCAUCUAAGCACGAAACUUGCCCCGAGAUGAGUUCUCCCUGAGACUUAGAGUCUCCUGAAGGAACGUUGAAGACGACGACGUUGAUAGGCCGGGUGUGUAAGCGCAGCGAUGCGUUGAGCUAACCGGUACUAAUGAACCGUGAGGCUUAACCUU
rnacentral:rRNA from 1 species